UACGUAGGGGGCUAGCGUUGUCCGGAUUUAUUGGGCGUAAAGAGCGUGUAGGCGGCCAUGUAGGUCCGGUGUGAAAACUCGAGGCUUAACCUGGAGACGCCACUUGAUACUGCUAUGGCUUGAGUUCGGUAGGGGACCAUGGAAUUCCUGGUGUAGCGGUGAAAUGCGCAGAUAUCAGGAGGAACACCGAUGGCGAAGGCAGUGGUCUGGGCCGAUACUGACGCUGAGGAGCGAAAGCGUGGGGAGCAAACAGG
rnacentral:rRNA from 1 species